AGAGUUUGAUCCUGGCUCAGGAUAAACGCUGGCGGCGUGCCUAACACAUGCAAGUCGAACGCUCUGAGCAAUCAGAGAGUGGCGGACGGGUGAGUAACACGUGGGUCAUCUACCUUGAGGUGAGGGAUACCGGGGAGAAAUCUUCGACAAGCCCGCAUAGCUUUCGCAAGAAAGAAAGUCGCAAGACGCCUCGAGAUGAG
rnacentral:rRNA from 1 species